AAACAUCGCCUCUUGAAAAAUUAUAAGAGGUCCAGCCUGCCCAGUGACUUAGUUCAACGGCCGCGGUACCCUAACCGUGCGAAGGUAGCAUAAUCACUUGUUCUUUAAAUGGGGACUUGUAUCAACGGCACCACGAGGGCUGCACUGUCUCCUUUCUCCAAUCAGUGAAACUGAUCUCUCCGUGAAGAAGCGGGGAUUAGACUAUAAGACGAGAAGACCCCAUGGAGCUUCAAACUCAUUAUACAACUCUGUGCUCUAUGCCCGCAACACAAGAGCCAUGUAUAGUAGUUUUGGGUUGGGGUGACCUCGGAGUAUAACUUAGCCUCCAAAUCAAACAGGUUAACACCUUUAUCCAUGAGAAACACCUCUAAGAAUUAUUAAAUUAAUGUAUUUGACCCGAUAAUCGAUCAAUGAACCAAGUUACCCUGGGGAUAACAGCGCAAUCUACUUCAAGAGUUCCUAUCGACAAGUGGGUUUACGACCUCGAUGUUGGAUCAGGGUAUCCCAGUGGUGCAACCGCUACUAAUGGUUCGUUUGUUCAACGAUUAAAACCCUACGUGAU
rnacentral:rRNA from 1 species